UAUCUUGAAUUAGGGUAUUGCCUAUAUCCUCUAAGAAACAACAUUUCCCUGUAGUGGAGGCACUUCCAGUUCAAGCUUGAUAACUCCAGGAUGUCAGUUGUUGUGGAGUUUCAGUCACACGCAUCCUACUGCUGUACCUCAGAAUAACUUGGCAUUCAAAUGAACUAGGGCUCUCAUUCUUGGAGGAAGAUAACCCAGCGAGCAGCAGAGAACUAUGAAAGUCUGUGUGUGAUAGAACUUAUUUCUAGACUGAAGGAAAGUUUUCACUGAAACCAGCACUGGGAGUAAGAAGUGGGCAUCAGUAUUCUUGAGACAUCUAUCAAUGUCUACAGCAAGAUCCCAUCUGAUAAAGAAAUAGGUAAGAAACUAAUGUUCUCAUCUAUGCAAACUCCUAAGUAUGUACUGCAA
rnacentral:lncRNA from 1 species